rnacentral:rRNA from 1 species
AGUGAACGCUGGCGGUAUGCCUAACACAUGCAAGUCGAACGGCAGCACAGUAAGAGCUUGCUCUUACGGGUGGCGAGUGGCGGACGGGUGAGGAAUGCAUCGGAAUCUACUUUUUCGUGGGGGAUAACGUAGGGACACUUACGCUAAUACCGCAUACGACCUACGGGUGAAAGCAGGGGAUCUUCGCACCUUGCGCGAUUGAUUGAGCCGAUGUCGGAUUAGCUAGUUGGCGGGGUAAAGGCCCACCAAGGCGACGAUCCGUAGCUGGUCUGAGAGGAUGAUCAGCCACACUGGAACUGAGACACGGUCCAGACUCCUACGGGAGGCAGCAGUGGGGAAUAUUGGACAAUGGGCGCAAGCCUGAUCCAGCAAUACCGCGUGGGUGAAGAAGGCCUUCGGGUUGUAAAGCCCUUUUGUUGGGAAAGAAAAGCAGCAGGUUAAUACCCCGCUGUUCUGACGGUACCCAAAGAAUAAGCACCGGCUAACUUCGUG